rnacentral:tRNA from 1 species
GGGGAUGUAGCUCAGUGGUACAGUGCUUGCCUAGCAUGUGUGAUGCCCUGGGUUCCAUCCCCAGCACUGCCA